rnacentral:rRNA from 1 species
CCUACGGGUGGCAGCAGUGGGGAAUAUUGGGCAAUGGGCGAAAGCCUGACCCAGCAACGCCGCGUGAAGGAAGAAGGCUUUCGGGUUGUAAACUUCUUUUGACAGGGAAGAGCAGAAGACGGUACCUGUCGAAUAAGCCACGGCUAACUACGUGCCAGCAGCCGCGGUAAUACGUAGGUGGCAAGCGUUGUCCGGAUUUACUGGGUGUAAGGGGCGUGUAGCCGGGCUGACAGGUCAGAUGUGAAAUCCGGGGGCUCAACCCCCGAACUGCAUUUGAAACUGUUGGGCUUGAGUGUCGGAGAGGCAGGCGGAAUGCCUAGUGUAGCGGUGAAAUGCGUAGAUAUUAGGAGGAACACCAGUGGCGAAGGCGGCCUGCGGGACGGCAACUGACGGUGAGGCGCGAAAGCGUGGGGAGCAAACAGGAUUAGAUACCCUUGUAGUC